rnacentral:rRNA from 1 species
GACUCUAUUUGUUGUGAUAUCUUAAGUUUUUGAAUUGUUUUUAUGUUAUUUUUUGUAAAAUAUUUUAAUUUUUUUUUUAUUUUCUUGUGGUAUCAAAAAUUUGUUUUUUGAACUGGAUUAGUACCCAGGUAAUCAAAAUUUAAUAAUUCGGGAGUAAAGUUUUAUUUAAACCGAAAAAAUAUUGACUGACUUUAGAUUUUUCUUUGGAACAUGUGAUUUGCUGGAGAGCCCUCUUUUUUGGUGAGUUUUAUUGGCACAUGUAUGAUUGUUUAGUUUUUAUUUUAUUUUGUAAUGCUUUUUUGUUUUGGCAUUUAAAACAGAUAUAUAUUUGGCUUAUAGAUUCAUGUUUCAUGUGUUACUAUUAUAAAUUUUUUUUGGAUUAAUUUUUUAUUUUUUUUUGAAAUUGGAAAAGAAAGUAAUUUUUUCUUGAUGUUUUGAUGAAUUUAAUGAAUAAAGUGGUACAAACCAUCCGUCAAU